CUACCCUUGACAUGUCUGGAAUCCCUGAGAGAUUAGGGAGUGCUCGAAAGAGAAUCAGAACACAGGUGCUGCAUGGCUGUCGUCAGCUCGUGUCGUGAGAUGUUGGGUUAAGUCCCGCAACGAGCGCAACCCUUGUCAUUAGUUGCUACAUUUAGUUGGGCACUCUAAUGAGACUGCCGGUGACAAACCGGAGGAAGGUGGGGAUGACGUCAAGUCCUCAUGGCCCUUAUGGGUAGGGCUUCACACGUCAUACAAUGGUACAUACAGAGGGUCGCCAACCCGCGAGGGGGAGCUAAUCCCAGAAAGUGUAUCGUAGUCCGGAUUGUAGUCUGCAACUCGACUACAUGAAGUUGGAAUCGCUAGUAAUCGCGGAUCAGCAUGUCGCGGUGAAUACGUUCCCGGGUCUUGUACACACCGCCCGUCACACCAUGGGAGUGGGUUUCACCAGAAGUAGGUAGCCUAACCGCAAGGAGGGCGCUUACCACGGUGGGAUUCAUGACUGGGGUG
rnacentral:rRNA from 1 species